GCUUGGUACAACCUCCAAGGGGCCAGGUGAGUCCUGAGUUGGUGCCAAAGUAUAGAGUAGGAGUUCCUUGGGCAAUAAGGAAAGCCAGUCACUUCCCAGGGG